rnacentral:misc_RNA from 1 species
AAUUAACCAUACUUCAAUUUUCCUAAUCAUCAUCAACCUCUUUAUAAUCCAAAUAUUCUGUUUUUUUCUUUGUAUCUGUGAAGCAUUUUGUAAUACUUACUUGUAUCAAGAAAUCCUGAAAUGUUAUCAACAAAAAUGAUGUGCCGUUUCAUUGAACGAGACAACAAAUUAGAUAAAUGACAGAAAUAAACAAUUUUAGAUUGUGUUAAUGUCUACAGAAGAAUCAAUGUCCAUGUGGAUAGGUAGUUGACUUGCAGUUUGCAGGUGCUUGUACUUGAUGGUAUUACAAGGUACCAGUGUAGUAUUUAUUGUUAUAGACUGUGUAAACAAUUCUUUCUUUGUUAUGUAUUCAUAGAUACUAAGGUAAUCCAUAAUGAGUAACAUCUAAUUGUGAUAUGAUUUAUUACAAUAAAAUGUGUAU